CCUACCAAGGCAAAGACGGGUAGGGGGCGUGAGAGCGUGGCCCCCCACACUGGUACUGACACACGGACCAGAUGCCUACGGGUAGCAGCAGCUAGGAAUAUUGGGCAAUGGGCGAAAGCCUGACCCAGCAACACCGCGUGAAGGACGAAGGCCUUCGGGUUGUAAACUUCUUUUCGAGGGAAAGAGAAAGGACGGUACCCUCGGAAUAAGGCCCGGCUAACUACGUGCCAGCAGCCGCGGUAAUACGUAGGGGCCAAGCGUUAUCCGGAUUUACUGGGCGUAAAGCGCAUGUAGGCGGUCGAUCAAGUCGGUUGUGAAAGCUCCUGGCUUAACUGGGAGAGGCCAUUCGAAACUAGUCGGCUGGAGGGUGGUAGAGGAGAGCGGAAUUCCAGGUGUAGCGGUGAAAUGCGUAGAUAUCUGGAGGAACACCAGUGGCGAAAGCGGCUCUCUGGACCAUUCCUGACGCUGAGAUGCGAAAGCCAGGGGAGAGAACGGGAUUAGAAACCCCGGUAUUCCUGGCCGUAAACGAUGUCAACUAGGCGUAGGAGGUUAUAAACCCCUUCUGUGCUGUAGCAAACGCGUUAAGUUGACCGCCUGGGGACUACGGCCGCAAGGCUAAAACUCAAAGGAAUUGACGGGUCCCCGCACAAGCAGCGGAGCGUGUGGUUUAAUUCGAGCUACGCGAAGAACCUUACCAGGGUUUGACAUGCUAGUGGUAGUGAAGCGAAAGCGGAACGACCCUUCGGGGAGCUAGCACAGGUGCUGCAUGGCUGUCGUCAGCUCGUGUCGUGAGAUGUCAGGUUAAGUCCUGUAACGAGCGCAACCCUCGUCGUUAGUUACAAGUGUCUAACGAGACUGCCCGUGAUAAGCGGGAGGAAGGUGAGGAUGAUGUCAAGUCAGCAUGGCCUUUAUAUCCUGGGCUACACACACGCUACAAUGGCCAGUACAAUGGGUUGCCAAGUCGCGAGACGGAGCCAAUCCCGCAAAGCUGGUCUCAGUUCGGAUUGCAGGCUGCAACUCGCCUGCAUGAAGUCGGAGUUGCUAGUAACCGCGCGUCAGCACAGUGCGGUGAAUACGUUCCCGGGGAUUGUACACACCGCCCGUCACGUCAUGGAAGUUGGCAACGCCUGAAGUCGGUGAGCUAACCCGCAAGGGAGGCAGCCGCCCAAGGUGGGGUCGGUAACUGGGACGAAGUCGAAACAAGGUAGCCGUACCGGGAGGUGCGGCUG
rnacentral:rRNA from 1 species